AUUGAACGCUGGCGGCAGGCUUAACACAUGCAAGUCGAGCGGUAGCACAGGGGAGCUUGCUCCCUGGGUGACGAGCGGCGGACGGGUGAGUAAUGUCUGGGAAACUGCCUGAUGGAGGGGGAUAACUACUGGAAACGGUAGCUAAUACCGCAUAACGUCGCAAGACCAAAGAGGGGGACCUUCGGGCCUCUUGCCAUCAGAUGUGCCCAGAUGGGAUUAGCUAGUAGGUGGGGUAAUGGCUCACCUAGGCGACGAUCCCUAGCUGGUCUGAGAGGAUGACCAGCCACACUGGAACUGAGACACGGUCCAGACUCCUACGGGAGGCAGCAGUGGGGAAUAUUGCACAAUGGGCGCAAGCCUGAUGCAGCCAUGCCGCGUGUGCGAAGAAGGCCUUCGGGUUGUAAAGCACUUUCAGCGAGGAGGAAGGUGGUGAGCUUAAUACGUUCAUCAAUUGACGUUACUCGCAGAAGAGGCACCGGCUAACUCCGUG
rnacentral:rRNA from 1 species